UACGUAGGUGGCAAGCGUUGUCCGGAUUUAUUGGGCGUAAAGAGCGUGUAGGCGGCCUUACAGGUCAGCUGUGAAAACUCGAGGCUCAACCUCGAGACGUCGGUUGAAACCGUAUGGCUAGAGUCCGGAAGAGGAGAGUGGAAUUCCCGGUGUAGCGGUGAAAUGCGCAGAUAUCGGGAAGAACACCCGUGGCGAAGGCGGCUCUCUGGGACGGUACUGACGCUGAGACGCGAAAGCGUGGGGAGCGAACAGG
rnacentral:rRNA from 1 species